GUUGCAGAAUAAUGAAAAGAUUUUUAUAAAAAUUUGUAUUUGGUCUUGGAACAAAAAGAUCAUUAUUAGAGACAGAUCGUAAGUUGUGGCGUUGCACAUCAUCAAUAUUUAGUAUUGCUAAGUAAUCAGGUGUUAGCCCAUUUACAAUUUUAUACAUUAGAAUUGAUUGUUGGUAUUUUAUUCUUUUGGUAAAAGAUAGCCAUUUUAAAGAAGAAAAC
rnacentral:lncRNA from 1 species